GCCUACGGGGCGCAGCAGUAGGGAAUCUUCCACAAUGGGCGAAAGCCUGAUGGAGCAACGCCGCGUGGGUGAAGAAGGUCUUCGGAUCGUAAAACCCUGUUGUUAGAGAAGAUAGUGCGUGAGAGUAACUGUUCACGUUUCGACGGUAUCUAACCAGAAAGCCACGGCUAACUACGUGCCAGCAGCCGCGGUAAUACGUAGGGGGCAAGCGUUAUCCGGAUUUAUUGGGCGUAAAGAGAAAGCAGGCGGUCUUUUAAGUCUGAAGUGAAAGCAU
rnacentral:rRNA from 1 species